CGGGACACGUGGUAUCCUGUCUGAAUAUGGGGGGACCAUCCUCCAAGGCUAAAUACUCCUGACUGACCGAUAGUGAACCAGUACCGUGAGGGAAAGGCGAAAAGAACCCCGGCGAGGGGAGUGAAAAAGAACCUGAAACCGUGUACGUACAAGCAGUGGGAGCACGCUUAGGCGUGUGACUGCGUACCUUUUGUAUAAUGGGUCAGCGACUUAUAUUCUGUAGCAAGGUUAACCGAAUAGGGGAGCCGAAGGGAAACCGAGUCUUAACUGGGCGUUAAGUUGCAGGGUAUAGACCCGAAACCCGGUGAUCUAGCCAUGGGCAGGUUGAAGGUUGGGUAACACUAACUGGAGGACCGAACCGACUAAUGUUGAAAAAUUAGCGGAUGACUUGUGGCUGGGGGUGAAAGGCCAAUCAAACCGGGAGAUAGCUGGUUCUCCCCGAAAGCUAUUUAGGUAGCGCCUCGUGAAUUCAUCUCCGGGGGUAGAGCACUGUUUCGGCAAGGGGGUCAUCCCGACUUACCAACCCGAUGCAAACUGCGAAUACCGGAGAAUGUUAUCACGGGAGACACACGGCGGGUGCUAACGUCCGUCGUGAAGAGGGAAACAACCCAGACCGCCAGCUAAGGUCCCAAAGUCAUGGUUAAGUGGGAAACGAUGUGGGAAGGCCCAGACAGCCAGGAUGUUGGCUUAGAAGCAGCCAUCAUUUAAAGAAAGCGUAAUAGCUCACUGGUCGAGUCGGCCUGCGCGGAAGAUGUAACGGGGCUAAACCAUGCACCGAAGCUGCGGCAGCGACGCUGAUGCGUUGUUGGGUAGGGGAGCGUUCUGUAAGCCUGUGAAGGUGUGCUGUGAGGCAUGCUGGAGGUAUCAGAAGUGCGAAUGCUGACAUAAGUAACGAUAAAGCGGGUGAAAAGCCCGCUCGCCGGAAGACCAAGGGUUCCUGUCCAACGUUAAUCGGGGCAGGGUGAGUCGACCCCUAAGGCGAGGCCGAAAGGCGUAGUCGAUGGGAAACAGGUUAAUAUUCCUGUACUUGGUGUUACUGCGAAGGGGGGACGGAGAAGGCUAUGUUGGCCGGGCGACGGUUGUCCCGGUUUAAGCGUGUAGGCUGGUUUUCCAGGCAAAUCCGGAAAAUCAAGGCUGAGGCGUGAUGACGAGGCACUACGGUGCUGAAGCAACAAAUGCCCUGCUUCCAGGAAAAGCCUCUAAGCAUCAGGUAACAUCAAAUCGUACCCCAAACCGACACAGGUGGUCAGGUAGAGAAUACCAAGGCGCUUGAGAGAACUCGGGUGAAGGAA
rnacentral:rRNA from 1 species